GAAUUUUAUAUAAGUUAAUUUAAAUAAUAAGUUGUAAGAAGAAUUAAGUAUAUUUAAUUGGGAGGAUUGUUAAAUUAAAGAAACUUUAAUUAUGUAAAUAAAAUAUAAAUUAAUAAGUUUAUGAAUGGUUAAUAAAUUAAUUAAGAAUUAAUUACCUUAGGGAUAACAGCGUAAUAUUUUUGGAAAGAUCAUAUUAAUAAAAAUGUUUGC
rnacentral:rRNA from 1 species